ACGUAGGGGGCAAGCGUUAUCCGGAUUUACUGGGUGUAAAGGGAGCGUAGACGGCAAGGCAAGUCUGAAGUGAAAGCCCGGUGCUUAACGCCGGGACUGCUUUGGAAACUGUUUGGCUGGAGUGCCGGAGAGGUAAGCGGAAUUCCUAGUGUAGCGGUGAAAUGCGUAGAUAUUAGGAAGAACACCAGUGGCGAAGGCGGCUUACUGGACGGUAACUGACGUUGAGGCUCGAAAGCGUGGGGAGCAAACAG
rnacentral:rRNA from 1 species